AACCGCCCGGUGCGGACCCGCAUGCCGGGUGGUGUGGGAGGGGCGGAACCUAUUGGUUCCCCCCUAUCCCGAU
rnacentral:ncRNA from 2 species